UGACGGUACCCUACUAGAAAGGAGCCGCUAACUUCGUGCCAGAAGCGUCGGUAAUACGGGGGCUCCAAGCGUUAUCCGGUGUUAUUGGGCGUAAAGAGUCGUGUAGGUGGUUGGGUAAGUUAUCUUUCAAAUAUCUUUGCUUAACAAAGAGGAGGGGGAUAAUACUGCUCGACUAGAAUUUUCUCAAGGGAGAUCGGAACUGAGGGAGGAGUAGUGAAAUGCGUUGAUACCCUCGGGAACACCAGUGGCGUAGGCGGAUCUCUGGGAGAAGAUUGACACUGAGACACGAAAGCUAGGGGAGCGAAGCAGAUUAGAGACCUGCGUAGUCCUAGCCGUAAACGCAUGCUUGCUAGCUGCAUGAAUCUACCUUCGGGUGGUAUCGUGUGGCGAAGGUAACCCGUUAAGCAAGCCGCCUGGAAAGUACGGCCGCAAGGCUGAAAUUCAAAGGAAUUGGCGGGGAGGCACACAACCAGUGGAACAUGUGGUUUAAUUCGAGACUAACCGAAGAACCUCACCAGGGUUUGACAUGUAGCUGCACGUCUUAAGAAAUUAAGACUCUCUUGAAGGUGCUACACAGGUGCUGCAUGGCUGUCGUCAGCUCGUUCCGUGAGGAGUGCCCUUAAGUGGGACAACGAGCGCAACCCCUAUUACAUGUUAGAAAUGUCAUGUAAGACUGCCUUGCCAUUUGGCGGGGAGGAAGGAGGGGCAGACGUCAAGUCCGCAUGGUCCUUAUGCCCUGGGCUACACACAUGUUACAAUGAGUACGGCAAUGAGUCUGUCGCGAGCACGUAAGUGUAAGCUAAUCUCUUAAAUGUACUCUCAGUGGGGAUUGUGGUCUGCAACUCGACCUCAUGAACACGGAAUUGGUAGUAAUCGCGGGUCAGCUAUACCGCGGUGAAUACGUUCUUGCCUCUUGCACACACCGCCCGUCAAACCAGCAAAGUCGAUUGUAUCCGAACCU
rnacentral:rRNA from 1 species